AGGGUAAGAAGAUUCUUUUCUUGAUUUCUAAUCAAAGAUUAAAGUGGUUUAAUUCUGCUUUUACCCUU
rnacentral:tRNA from 1 species